rnacentral:rRNA from 1 species
CGCGCAGGCGGCCACUUAAGCCCGGCGUGAAAGCCCCCGGCUCAACCGGGGAGGGUCGUCGGGGACUGGGUGGCUUGAGGACGGCAGGGGCUGGUGGAAUCCCCGGUGUAGUGGUGAAAUGCGUAGAGAUCGGGGGGAACACCCGUGGCGAAGGCGGCCAGCUGGGCCGGUCCUGACGCUGAGGCGCGAAGGCGUGGGGAGCGAACG